GAUGAACGCUGGCGGCGUGCCUAAUACAUGCAAGUCGAGCGAACAGACGAGGAGCUUGCUCCUCUGACGUUAGCGGCGGACGGGUGAGUAACACGUGGAUAACCUACCUAUAAGACUGGGAUAACUUCGGGAAACCGGAGCUAAUACCGGAUAAUAUAUUGAACCGCAUGGUUCAAUAGUGAAAGACGGCUUUGCUGUCACUUAUAGAUGGAUCCGCGCCGCAUUAGCUAGUUGGUAAGGUAACGGCUUACCAAGGCAACGAUGCGUAGCCGACCUGAGAGGGGGAUCGGCCACACUGGAACUGGGACACGGUCCAGACUCCUACGGGAGGCAGCAGUAGGGAAUCUUCCGCAAUGGGCGAAAGCCUGACGGAGCAACGCCGCGUGAGUGAUGAAGGUCUUCGGAUCGUAAAACUCUGUUAUUAGGGAAGAACAAAUGUGUAAGUAACUAUGCACGUCUUGACGGUACCUAAUCAGAAAGCCACGGCUAACUACGUG
rnacentral:rRNA from 1 species